AAGUUUUAAUUUAAGUUAAAAUAAGUGGUUGUUACCCGCUGAAUGGGGGAAUUCCCCAAGCUUGGU
rnacentral:tRNA from 1 species